CCAACCUACAUUUUGCUAGUCCUCGAGCAAAAUAAAAAAAAACUAACUCACUUUCGCAGGAAUCGCGAUUGCAUUUACCGUAUGCAAUAAGGCUUUAAACCCCUAGGUGGCCCUAGUGGACGAGUUUUGUCUCGUGAGGGUUUCCGGCUCAGAUACCCACAAACUGUGGUCUCUACCCAGUUUAUUUUAUUGUUUUAUAAAAUCUAAUUUCAAAUGCAUAAGUGCCAAGAAUUUCAAAAGCACACAAAGUUUUAUUACUAAGUCAGCCCAAAUCCUAGGUCAA
rnacentral:lncRNA from 1 species